UAGGUUUUGUUGGAUGUUGUGAUGGUCUAAAUGGGCCAAGAAUAUUCUAAACAAUAUGCUGUUCUAAAUGUUACCAGGCUGGAAGACAUGUAUGGUGUUGCUUGUCACUUGGUGUAAAAUAUAAAUGAAUUCAUCGAUGUUUUCGGUCACUAGUUGCAAGUUUUCCAGCUAGAAAGACGCUAGAAGAAAGCACUCCUUGAAAUACUUGGUUCGUACUGCAUACCUCCCGGAACCCAUAGCUAAAGAUAAGCAAUUCAAACAACAAAAACUGAAGAUGAAUAGCAUUGAGUGCUGGAAUAAAUCACAACGUAUUACUAGCAACUGCUCCACAAGCUGCACAACCGGCUCCUACAGACAGAAUUUUUCCAGAAUGACCAAAAUCAUUUUUCUGUUGUUUGCUAUUUCAUUUAUGGUGUCAUGCGAUGGCUUUGGGAAGGCAACUGCGAUAGGAUGCGACGCCGCCAGAGAAGGUCACAUUAUAUCUGGCAACGUUUGCAGUUUCAGUUGCUGCUUGGAAAAAAAAUUGCGAAAAAUGCAUCAGGAAACUGCCAUAAGGCGAGGAAGAUGUCCUGCUUUUGCCAAUUGGGGUCGACCUUGCUUUGAAAGUGGCUAUAUAUUUCUACACAGAACGGUCAUCAAAUACAAUGUUUUGGGAUGCUUUAUUUGCAAUAACGGUUUUCAUCGUUUCUACAAAGAUCCUGCUAAUGAAGGUUCACGAGUAGAUGGAAGCCAGGGAUAUACUCUUGUCAGGUUUGGAUAAACUUGCUACAGUUGGCUGAAUACCAAGACACACAAUGUGCAAACUAUUAUGGAACUUCAGUCAUAUUUUGUUUAAUCUUGCAAUAAAUGAAAAUGUAGCUUUAACAGAUGAUUAGCAGUAUUUAUGUGUUAUAUUCGGACAUGAACUCUAAUUAGUAAAUACAACAAUUGUGUUUUUGUUUCUCCAUAC